rnacentral:rRNA from 1 species
UGGCUUAGGACGAACGCGGGCGGCGUGCCUAAUACAUGCAAGUAGAACGCUGACCUCUUUAGCUUGCUAGAGAGUGAUGAGUUGCGAACGGGUGAGUAACGCGUAGGUAACCUGCCUUAUAGAGGGGGAUAACUAUUGGAAACGAUAGCUAAUACCGCAUAAUAGCUUUUAUCGCAUGAUAGAAGUUUGAAAGGGGCAAUUGCCUCGCUAUAAGAUGGACCUGCGUUGUAUUAGCUAGUUGGUGAGGUAACGGCUCACCAAGGCAACGAUACAUAGCCGACCUGAGAGGGUGAUCGGCCACACUGGGACUGAGACACGGCCCAGACUCCUACGGGAGGCAGCAGUAGGGAAUCUUCGGCAAUGGGGGGAACCCUGACCGAGCAACGCCGCGUGAGUGAAGAAGGUUUUCGGAUCGUAAAGCUCUGUUGUUAGAGAAGAACGUUGGAUAGAGUGGAAAGUUAUCCAAGUGACGGUAACUAACCAGAAAGGGACGGCUAACUACGUGCCAGCAGCCGCGGUAAUACGUAGGUCCCGAGCGUUGUCCGGAUUUAUUGGGCGUAAAGCGAGCGCAGGCGGUUGUUUAAGUCUGAAGUAAAAGGCAUUGGCUCAACCAAUGUAUGCUUUGGAAACUGGAUGACUUGAGUGCAGAAGGGGAGAGUGGAAUUCCAUGUGUAGCGGUGAAAUGCGUAGAUAUAUGGAGGAACACCGGUGGCGAAAGCGGCUCUCUGGUCUGUAACUGACGCUGAGGCUCGAAAGCGUGGGUAGCGAACAGGAUUAGAUACCCUGGUAGUCCACGCCGUAAACGAUGAGUGCUAGGUGUUGGGUCCUUUCCGGGACUCAGUGCCGCAGCUAACGCAUUAAGCA